AAAGUGACAGCUGCUCCCCGCGCGCAUCGCACGAACGCAGUCACUCACCCCCAGACACCCGAUUACAGCCCACUCAUGCGCAGCCGUACGCACCCGGGGGCCUCGGAUGCUCGUCCAUAUCCCCACAACCUCCUCCCGCGUGGUUUUCCAGACUCCAGCCCCUGGGAGCGGGUGGAGAGGAUAGUGGGGGAAGGGGACAAGGGCCGGCAGCGCUGGCUUCCGGACUGGGCUGUCUUCCGGCGGUCGUGGGAACAGCUGCCGUUGGCUCCCCGACCUCGCAUUCACCAGAGGAGAGGGUGCUGCCAAUACAGGGAAACAGGGCCACCCCGUUCCCAGGUAGCAAUGGGAGGGAGCCCCGCUGUGCGGAGAUCCAGGCACCUUUAAUUCAGCAAGAGGGGCUGAAAAACCCUCCACAUUUUGGAAGAAGGAUCCAAACCCCUGUUUUAGGUAAAGAGAGCCCCCAACGUUUUGGGGGAUGGUCUGAAGGCCGCCAUUUGUAGGGACACAGAGCCCUGGUGUGCAGGUCUGGGCCAGCAGCCCCCAGCUGGAUUGGGGAGCCCACCCCCUCUACUGGUUUCCAGGAACAGCUGGGCCCAGCCUAGGUUGUACUGCUGGGAAGCGGCUGACUCAACCCCUCCCUGUGGCCACAGCUGGACCCCGGCCUGCCCCCUCCAGCGUUCACAUCUGGGCAGGGAUCCAGUCUUCAUCAGGGCUGAGAAGGGGACCCUCAGUCCCACAACUGGAGAACAGUGCCCCUCUGCCACUCCCCUGGCUGACCACAGCCACUGGGUGGACUCCAUGCAUCAUCACCAUGGAGGACUCUGGCAGGCCCCCUACAGCCCAGAUAUUGACAUCCUGCCAGGAACUCCUAGCCAGUCCCCCCUCCCUGUGUCUGUGUGUGUCUGAGUCCAUGUGAAAUGUGCUAGGUUUUUUUGUGUUUUUGAGAGAAAGGGUUUUGCUAUGUUGCCCAGGAUGGUCUCGACCUCCUGACUUCAAGUAAUCCUCCUGCCUCUGCCUCCUAAAGUGCUGGGAUUUCAGGCGUGAGCCACGGCGCCUGGCCAAAUGUGCUGGUCUUUGUAGGUGUGAGAUGGAGGAUCUGUGACUGUGUGUACACGGGCAUGUGUCCUGCAUCCAUUGUGUCAUAAGGCCUUCGAGUUUGUGCAACAGGCUGUGCCUGAUUUGAUGGGGGGGAGGGCUGGUUUCGGGGACUGGGGGAGGGGAAAUUUGUAACAUCCUUGUCGGUAACAUCCUUGUCCGUAACAUCCAGGUUGGGGCCGGGCUUGGUGGCUCGCGCCAGUAAUCCCAGCACUUUGGGAGGUCAAGGCAGACAGAUCACUUGAGGUCAGGGGUUCAAGACCAGCCUGGCCAACAUAGUGAAACCCUGUCUCUACUAAUAAUACAAUAAUCAGCCAGGCGUGGUGGUGAGCGCCUGUAAUCCCAGCUACUCAGGAGGUUGAGGCAAGAGAAUUGCUUGAACCUGGGAGGCAGAGAUUGCAGUGAGCCGAGAACGCGCCAUUACACUCUAGCCUAGGUAACAAAGCAAGACUCCAUCUCAAAAACAACAACAACCAAAAAAACCCAUCCAGAUUUUAGGGUGACUAGGGAACCUCUAGUGUGUGCCCCUGUGUAUCUCUGUAUGGUCCAGGCAGAGUUUGGGUGGGGCUCUCUCACUCCAAUUGCAUCUUCAUGUGUUGUGUGUCUGUGUCUACUAUAUACGUCUAUAUGGGACCUCACUUUGGGUCUAUAUCUGUGUCAUUCUUUUUUUCUUUUUCUUUUUUUGAGACGGAGUCUCACUCUGUCACCCAGGCUGGAGUGCAGUGGAGCGAUCUCGGUUCACUGCAAGCUCCGCCUCCCGGGUUCACACCAUUCUCCUGCCUCAGCCUCCCAAGUAGCUGGGACUACAGGCGCCCGCCACCAGGUGUGGCUAAUUUUUUGUAUUUUUAGUAGAGACGAGGUUUCACCGUGUUAGCCAGGAUGGUC
rnacentral:lncRNA from 1 species